rnacentral:sRNA from 1 species
AUGAGAUCUGAUGGUUUUUUCAAGGAGAGUUCCCCUGCACAUGCUCUGUUGCCUGCUGCCAUGUGAGAUAUGACUUUGCUCUUCUUUCACCAUCCGCCAUGACUGUGAGGCCUCCUCAGGCGUGUGGAACUAACAAGGGGGAGUCUCCCUGCACAAGUUCUCUCUCUUUGCCUGCUGCCAUCCACGUAAGAUGUGACUUGCUCCUCCUUGCCUUCCACCAUGAUUGUGAGGCUUCCCCAGCCAUGUGGAACUGCUUCUUUUCUGGUUUCCUGUUUUGAUCUCCUCUCAACCAUUAACGCCUACACUGUGUUGGUGGCCCUGAUGAAGAAAUGUGCUUCUUCAUUUAGACCCGGGAUGGCUGAUGGUUUUCUGAUUGAUUGGUAGCAAAACCUGGAAAGCUAGUUUGAGAGAUUUAAAGCCCAGGCCAAAUGCAGCAGCUUGCUUGAGUCCUGCUGGAAAAGGCCUCAUGUGGAAGCCCCAGGGACGACUUCCAGCACUGAGGAAUUUUCAGUCUUCUGCGUCUGUCAAUCAACUGAACCAUUUAUGGCUGGUAUCUUCUUUUCUAGUGCCCAUAAGCCCUGUCACUGUUGAGCUGGGCCCACCUAAAGGCUGAUGUCCUUUGCAAUUUCUGGGACUACUGCAAGUGCUCCUAACUGUCCUCCCUGCCUCCAGCCUUCCAACCUACAGCCACUCGAGUUGCCUUCCUACACAUCAGAGCCGGUCAUGCCAUUCUCCUGCUUAAAAGCCCAUCUCACUGGCU